ACAUGCGCAGAUAGCAACUGGAAAUAAUGGGAAUGUAUCAGAUUCCCAUGAAUCACUGAAGUUAAGCAACGUUGCACGCGGUUAGUGUCCGGAUGGGUGACCAUCUGGGUAAUCGCGCUGCGUGCU
rnacentral:rRNA from 1 species